AUCCCGCUUCCCUCCUGCCUCGCCACUGCAGGCCUGUCCCUUUGCUUUCUUAAAACUGCGCACCGUCUGAGGCCACUUCGAGCCUACUGGAUCCCUGGUUCCGACCCAGUAGGAUCACAGAAGCAGGGCCAGCUGCCAGGAGAAAAAGUUGUUCUCUUCUACCAAAUUUUCCUGCCAUCAAAUGCUCAUCGAGUGACAAUAGAGAAAGCACCAUCAUCCUCAAGCAUCAGAUUGGGAGAAAAGUCCGCUCUCGAGAGCAUCAACUAUGUAGAAAGGGGACCAACCUAUGUUAUAUCUGCCUUAGUGCAUGGGCUGCUGGUCAAUGCUAAUAGCUGGCUCUCAGGGAAAAAAGAAAAACCAUCUGUGGCAUCUGCCAAUUUCUGUGGUGUAAAUACUCUGAGCUCUGCCAAUUUCAAGCCAUCCAUCUGACAUUGCUGAACCCAAAGUUGGCAAGGGAUGUGCACAAUUGCCUUUUGCAAGCAAGCUUCUGCAAAAGACUUGAGACAGCUCACAAUGAAGUACUCUGUAUUAGGCAGGGUAAUAUUGAUUGCAAGUGACAGAAACCCAAUCAGAAACUCACUGGAGUCAUGAGGAACACUUAUUGGCUCAGACAGAGUCUCGCUUUGUCAUCCAGGCUGGUGUUCAGUGGCGCAAUCUGGGCUAACUGCAAACUCCGCCUCCUGGGUUCUAGCAAUUCUCCUGCCUCAGCCUCUCAAGUAGCUGGGAUUCUAGGCAUGCACCACCACACUCAACUAAUUUUUGUAAUUUUUAGUAGAGACAAGAUUUCCCUAUAUUGGCCAGGCUGGUCUUGAACUCCUGGCCUCAAGUAAUCUGCCUGCCUUGGCCUCCCAAAGUGCCGAAAUUACAGGUGUGAGCCACCACACUUGGCUAAGACUACUAAUUUCUAAUGCUGCUUCUGUCAUAUACCACAUGUGUAUGUAUUAAAGUUGUUAAGUUUC